GGUGAAGAACGUAGUGAAAUGCGAUACUUGGUGUGAAUUGCAGAAUCCCGUGAACCAUCGAGUCUUUGAACGCAAGUUGCGCCCGAAGCCAUUAGGCCGAGGGCACGCCUGCCUGGGUGUCACACACCGUUACCCUCGCGCCAACGUCCAUCGUUGGCCGCGGCGCGGGGCGUGCGCUGACCUCCCGCGAGCGGGGUCUCGUGGUUGGUUGAAAAUCGAGUUCGCGGUCGAGGGUGCCGUGAUGAAAUGGUGGAUGGGCGACGCCCGAGGCCAAUCACGCGCGACUCUGUCCGGCUCGGACUCCUGGACCCCUUCGGCGUCUCCGGACGCUCUUUGGCGAGACCUCAGGUCAGGCGGGGCUACCCGCUGAGUUUAAGCAUAUCAAAAGCGGAGGA
rnacentral:misc_RNA from 1 species